rnacentral:rRNA from 1 species
UUGACCUCAAAUCAGGUAGGACUACCCGCUGAACUUAAGCAUAUCAAUAAGCGGAGGAAAAGAAACUAACAAGGAUUCCCCUAGUAACUGCGAGUGAAGCGGGAAAAGCUCAAAUUUAAAAUCUGGUAGUCUUUGGCUGCCCGAGUUGUAAUCUAGAGAAGCAUUAUCUGCGCUGGACUGUGUAUAAGUGUCCUGGAAUAGACCAUCAUAGAGGGUGACAAUCCCGUCUUUGACACAGACUCCCAGUGCUUUGUGAUGUGCUCUCAAAGAGUCGAGUUGUUUGGGAAUGCAGCUCUAAAUGGGUGGUAAGUUCCAUCUAAAGCUAAAUAUUG